rnacentral:rRNA from 1 species
UUGGAGGGCAAGUCUGGUGCCAGCAGCCGCGGUAAUUCCAGCUCCAAUAGCGUAUAUUAAAGUUGUUGCAGUUAAAAAGCUCGUAGUUGAAUUUCGGGAUCAAUUAAUUGGUCGUGCCUCUGGUACGUACUGAUUUUAUUGGUUUCUCCCUUCUGACGAACCAUGAUGUCAUUAAUUUGGUGUCGUGGAGAAUCAGGACUGUUACUUUGAAAAAAUUAGAGUGUUUAAAGCAAGCUAACGCUUGAAUACAUUAGCAUGGAAUAAUGAAAUAGGACGUUUGAUCCUAUUUUGUUGGUUUCUAGGAUCGACGUAAUGAUUAAUAGGGAUAGUUGGGGGCAUUAGUAUUCAAUUGUCAGAGGUGAAAUUCUUGGAUUUAUUGAAGACUAACUACUGCGAAAGCAUUUGCCAAGGAUGUUUUCAUUAAUCAAGAACGAAAGUUAGGGGAUCGAAGACGAUCAGAUACCGUCGUAGUCUUAACCAUAAACUAUGCCGACUAGGGAUCGGAUGAUGUUAAUUUUUUAAUGACUCAUUCGGCGCCUUACGGGAAAC